AACGAACGCUGGCGGCAUGCCUAACACAUGCAAGUCGAACGAUACCUUCGGGUCGAGUGGCGCCCGGGUACUUAACGCGGGGGAACCUGCCCGUAGGUUAAGAAUAACUCCCCGAAAGGGGUGCUAAUACCGGAUAAUGUCUUCGGACCAAUGAUUUAUCUCCUUUGGAUGGGCCCGCGUUGGAUUAGCUAGUUGGUAGGGUAAAAGCCUACCAAGGCGACGAUCCAUAGCUGGUCUGAGAGGAUGAUCAGCCACACUUGGACUGAGACACGGCCCAGACUCCUACGGGAGGCAGCAGUGGGGAAUAUUGGACAAUGGGCGAAAGGCUGAUCCAGCAAUGCCGCGUGAGUGAUGAAGGCCUUAGGGUUGUAAAGCUCUUUUAACCGGGAGGAUAAUGACAGUACCGGGAGAAUAAGCCCCGGCUAACUCCGUG
rnacentral:rRNA from 1 species